rnacentral:rRNA from 1 species
GAUGAACGCUAGGGGCAUGCUUAACACAUGCAAGUCGAGCGGUUUCUCCAUUUGUGGGGAGAGGGUGGCGGACGGGUGAGGAACACGUAAGAACUUACCCUUGGGAGGGGAAUAACUCGCCGAAAGAUGAGCUAAUACCGGAUAAGACCACAGUUUCUGCGGGGACAGAGGUCAAAGGUAGCCUCUGCUUGCAAGCUAUCACUUAGAGAUGGGCCUGCGCACCAUUAGCUAGUUGGUAGGGUAACGGCCUACCAAGGCAAAGAUGGUUAGCUGGUCUGAGAGGAUGAUCAGCCACACUGGAACUGAGACACGGUCCAGACUCCUACGGGAGGCAGCAGUGGGGAAUAUUGCGCAAUGGGCGAAAGCCUGACGCAGCAACGCCGCGUGAGUGAUGAAGGCCUUCGGGUCGUAAAGCUCUGUCGGAAGGAACGAAUGCUCCUGAGGUUAACAGCCUCGGGAGGUGACGGUACCUUCAAAGGAAGCACCGGCUAACUCUGUGCCAGCAGCCGCAGUAAUAC